AAUACGGGGGGGGCAAGCGUUGUUCGGAAUUACUGGGCGUAAAGGGUCGGUAGGUGGCCCGCUAAGUCACACGUGAAAUCCCUCAGCUCAACUGGGGAACUGCGUGUGAGACUGGCAGGCUCGAGGGCAGGAGAGGAACGCGGAAUUCCAGGUGUAGCGGUGAAAUGCGUAGAUAUCUGGAGGAACACCGGUGGCGAAGGCGGCGUUCUGGACUGUCUCUGACACUGAACGACGAAAGCCAGGGGAGCAAACG
rnacentral:rRNA from 1 species